AUGAGAAUCAGAAGGAUCACUACAAGAAACUAUCCAUUUUACGACACGUGUGUUGUGACCCUUGAGAAAGUUGAGCCUUUUCAUUUCAAGGCCCGCGACGGUUACCAAAACCGCCCUAACCCAGGAUUUGCGACGGAUUUCUUUUUAAUUAAGAAGCAAAAGGAUGGAGGGGUUCUCUUGCCACCUGCAAUUGGUGAUGUGAAUCACAAUUUAAAUGCAUGGUUUAGCCUGAGGAAGAAAUAA